rnacentral:misc_RNA from 1 species
GUGCUGUUUUUCUUCUUUCCUUGUCUUCUCAAUGGUCUCUUUUUUUCUUUCUCUAGGAUCAAUAGCUUAUUAUCAUUAGCUUCUUUCUCUAGAAUAGGUUCUAAAAAUUUUCCAACUCAAACUUAUCAUUUUAAAUUUCAUUAUGUGAAGUCUCAACAAUCAAAACUUCAAAAUCUUCAAACCGAUCUUCUUGCUCUUCACUAUAAAAUUUCGUCAUUGCAUGCAUUUGAGGUUUAUUUACAUGUCCAAAAACUCUUGAUAAUGCUUCCAACUUUGCUUCAAUUCUAUCCAAGCAUUUAUCAUCAUUUUCUUCAGAUUUUUCUUCAAAUUAAAGAUUUGAGCACGCAUCAUAAACCAAAUGGUUACAACUUGUUGGUGGCUAAAUAAAAAAAGUCUUCCAAAUUCCAAUAUGCUUGUUGAAACAUAUAUUCCUUCUUUCAUGCUUCAAGUUUUUUCUCCCUUACUCGUAAAAGUUAUUUUGACAGUUCGAUAUUCAUAAAAUAAGUUAGGAG